rnacentral:rRNA from 1 species
UGGGGAAUAUUGCACAAUGGGCGCAAGCCUGAUGCAGCCAUGCCGCGUGUGUGAAGAAGGCCUUCGGGUUGUAAAGCACUUUCAGCGAGGAGGAAGGUGGUGGACUUAAUACGUUCAUCAAUUGACGUUACUCGCAGAAGAAGCACCGGCUAACUCCGUGCCAGCAGCCGCGGUAAUACGGAGGGUGCAAGCGUUAAUCGGAAUUACUGGGCGUAAAGCGCACGCAGGCGGUUUGUUAAGUCAGAUGUGAAAAUCCCCGGGCUCAACCUGGGAACUGCAUUUGAAAACUGGCAAGCUAGAGUCUCGUAGAGGGGGGUAGAAUUCCAGGUGUAGCGGUGAAAUGCGUAGAGAUCUGGAGGAAUACCGGUGGCGAAAGGCGGCCCCCUGGACGAAGACUGACGCUCAGGUGCGAAAAGCGUGGGGAGCAAAACAGGAUUAGAUACCCUGGUAGUCCACGCUGUAAACGAUGUCGAUUUUGGAGGUUGUGCCCUUGAGGCGUGGCUUCCGGAGCUAACGCGUUAAAUCGACCGCCUGGGGAGUACGGCCGCAAGGUUAAAAACUCAAAAUG